GACGGGUGAGUAACACGUGGGUAACCUACCUAUAAGACUGGAAUAACUCCGGGAAACCGGGGCUAAUGCCGGAUAACAUUUAGAACCGCAUGGUUCUAAAGUGAAAGAUGGUUUUGCUAUCACUUAUAGAUGGACCCGCGCCGUAUUAGCUAGUUGGUAAGGUAACGGCUUACCAAGGCAACGAUACGUAGCCGACCUGAGAGGGUGAUCGGCCACACUGGAACUGAGACACGGUCCAGACUCCUACGGGAGGCAGCAGUAGGGAAUCUUCCGCAAUGGGCGAAAGCCUGACGGAGCAACGCCGCGUGAGUGAUGAAGGUCUUCGGAUCGUAAAACUCUGUUAUUAGGGAAGAACAAAUGUGUAAGUAACUAUGCACGUCUUGACGGUACCUAAUCAGAAAGCCACGGCUAACUACGUGCCAGCAGCCGCGGUAAUACGUAGGUGGCAAGCGUUAUCCGGAAUUAUUGGGCGUAAAGCGCGCGUAGGCGGUUUCUUAAGUCUGAUGUGAAAGCCCACGGCUCAACCGUGGAGGGUCAUUGGAAACUGGGAAACUUGAGUGCAGAAGAGGAAAGUGGAAUUCCAUGUGUAGCGGUGAAAUGCGCAGAGAUAUGGAGGAACACCAGUGGCGAAGGCGACUUUCUGGUCUGUAACUGACGCUGAUGUGCGAAAGCGUGGGGAUCAAACAGGAUUAGAUACCCUGGUAGUCCACGCCGUAAACGAUGAGUGCUAAGUGUUAGGGGGUUUCCGCCCCCUUAGUGCUGCAGCUAACGCAUUAAGCACUCCGCCUGGGGAGUACGACCGCAAGGUUGAAACUCAAAGGAAUUGACGGGGACCCGCACAAGCGGUGGA
rnacentral:rRNA from 1 species